GAAGAAACCUUCUUCUCAACAUCUGUGGAGACUGGCCAGGGGAUAGGAAGAUGGGAUUGCUUGUUUGAUCCAUUCCAGUACGUUCAUGCCAGAAAAAAUGUAACAUGGAGAGACAGGAGAGCUGUCAACUCGUCUUUUUAAAUGUUUCUACCCAGGAAGACAUUAUUUUACCUAUGAUGGAGCCUUCUGGAAACACACUCCGAAGCAGCAGAAGCGUCACGGAGCAGUCACGUAUUCCACGUGAUGCUCAGAAGCUGUGCUUGGAAAACUGAGAGGUGGGACCCAU
rnacentral:lncRNA from 1 species